ACAGGUCAUUCUCUAUGGCGAAGACUACUUGCGCGCGCAGCCGGGAUAUAAAAGUCGGAAGACGGAAAUCGAGGAACUCAUAGCGUACUCAAAAAAGCAAGGUGGACAAAGCCAGACUGAAAACGGAAGUGACAUCAUUGCCGAGCGGAAGUUCAAUCGACUUGUGCGCAAGAUCUAUAAUUAUGGGACGAAACUGUUGGUGUACGAGGAAAAACGACAAAAACUCUAUCAUUCGCCCUGGAAGCUGACUGGACCCUUCCCGUCGGUUUUCGAGGUAGGAAAGCUCGUCAACGGAAGAGUCGGAACCGGUAGAUUACGGAAGCGCUUAACCGCUCUCGACAUCGAUGGCUGUGCCUUUGGCGUGGAGGUAGCCGCCAUUAUGAACUGUAGCUCAGAA